rnacentral:rRNA from 1 species
GACUCUCGACAAUGGAUAUCUUGGCUCUCGCCGUGAUGAAGACCGUAGCGAAAUGCGAUACUUGGUGUGUCGAGUCUUUGAACGCAAGUUACGCUUGAGGCCGUAGGCUGAGGGCAUGCCUGCCUUGGCGUCA